rnacentral:lncRNA from 1 species
AGGGGUUGGUACAGGUAACACCCUAAAUUUUACAACUUUUGAAAUAAGGAAAAAAAUGAUUUAAUUUAUAUUUUUGUGCUCAUAAAACAUAGGAAAAUAAUGCUUUUCAUUAAAUUAAAAACUAUCAUAGGAAUGAGCAAUGUGUUUGAGCAUGCAUACCUUGGCAUUUUAUUGUGAUGAGUGUAUUUGAACUCAAAAUUCAAAAUGAUUCAAAAAGAUUUUGAAAUAAGUUUCAAAUGACUUUUGGAAUAAAAGAAAAAAAUGAAAGAAAAGGAAAAUCUCUCCCUCUCUUUAUUCUGGCCCGAGAAGGCCCAACUCCUUCCCCUCUCCCCCUCGCCGCGGCCCAGCUUCCCCCUUCUCCAUCUGUGUGCAGCACCAACCCGCCAACUCGAUGCCCACCUUCCUAGGCCGAGUCGCCUCGCGGCCCGCAGAUGCACAGGCCAGAUGGGCAGCCUGCCCGCGCCCUUCCCUUUAUCCCUUUCCUUUUCUCUCACUGACACCCCUGGCCC